AACGCGACGACAGGUGGUAUCCUUCGGCGGCGAUUCCACCGAUCCCCUUCGCCUCCGGUGGCUGAUUAGGUGUCGGCUUGCUGAUGGGGACACGGAUCUGUCCACAGAGUUUUUGCAGAGGCUGUAGAUAGAAGAGAUCAUGAGGCUGAACAUCCUGUCCAAUCAGGUUAUGUUUGGCCAUUGGCAUGCAUAUUGAUGCGCCAUGCAUCUCCUUUCAUCAUGAUGGUCGGCGACCGGGUCUUCGCCGCCGGAGCUGUACAGUAUCACCUACUCUCGGGUGAAGCUCGGCGAGAGAGGUCCUAUAGUUUACAAAUAUUCGUGGAGCUCUCACAGUGGCAGACAGAGAGAGGAGCUACUCCAGCAUUGCACUGCUGACAGCAAGUGACUAAUGCCCUAAUCUUGUUGUGUAGAUUAAUGCAACUGGCGUUAACUUGUAGAGCAUCAUGUUGUUAGAAUAGUUCUAAGGUCACCGUAUGAUUUCCUUUACAUUUUUGCUUGCUUGCCUGUGUACCAAACAAGAUGCAAGAUGGCAUAUAAUGUAUUUUUACAUUGAAUCAUGGAUGGUGCAUUGAUGACAUUUUCUUUAGAGUAUGAUGAUCGUCUUUGUUUUA